rnacentral:sRNA from 1 species
AUAUCUCUCUGUACGGGAAGGAUGAGAAGCUUCGACUAAGGUUCGAUUCGAGCGCAGCGAGAAAGCGUUGCCAACGGCAACGACCCGAAGGGCGA